GACGAACGCUGGCGGCGUGCCUAAUACAUGCAAGUAGAACGCUGAAGAGAGGAGCUUGCUCUUCUUGGAUGAGUUGCGAACGGGUGAGUAACGCGUAGGUAACCUGCCUUGUAGCGGGGGAUAACUAUUGGAAACGAUAGCUAAUACCGCAUAACAAUGGAUGACACAUGUCAUUUAUUUGAAAGGGGCAAUUGCUCCACUACAAGAUGGACCUGCGUUGUAUUAGCUAGUAGGUGAGGUAAUGGCUCACCUAGGCGACGAUACAUAGCCGACCUAAGAGGGUGAUCGGCCACACUGGGACUGAGACACGGCCCAGACUCCUACGGGAGGCAGCAGUAGGGAAUCUUCGGCAAUGGGGGCAACCCUGACCGAGCAACGCCGCGUGAGUGAAGAAGGUUUUCGGAUCGUAAAGCUCUGUUGUAAGUCAAGAACGGGUGUGAGAGUGGAAAGUUCACACUGUGACGGUAGCUUACCAGAAAGGGACGGCUAACUACGUG
rnacentral:rRNA from 1 species